rnacentral:rRNA from 1 species
GACGGAGGGUGCAAGCGUUGCUCGGAAUCACUGGGCGUAAAGGGUGCGUAGGCGGUCUCGCAAGUCUGGCGUGAAAGCCCAAGGCUCAGCCUUGGAAGUGCGCUCGAAACGGCGAGGCUGGAGUGCCGGAGGGGAGAGUGGAAUUCCCGGUGUAGCGGUGAAAUGCGUAGAUAUCUGGAGGAACACCGGUGGCGAAGGCGGCAUCCUGGACCAAUUCUGACACUGAGGAGCGAAAGCCAGGGGAGCAAACGGG